rnacentral:lncRNA from 1 species
UAAAACCGUCAUGUUCCUUUCCAAAUAACUUGUCAAACAUCGUUUAUUUUUGUAAAUUUUCUUGCAUUCGUCCGCCAUUGACCGAUUUCUAAACUACAGAUCUGAACCGGACCAGCUAUGACCGAAAUCCGUACUUUUACAAUAAUUACUACGGACGCACGGAUGGAACAGCUGACAGAAGAAUAUUGACCCCAAAGGGAAAAAUUACGCAUCCCACACGCAUUAAGAGACUUUUGGUUACAUCUAAUUGAUUGGUGUAUAUAAUUCCCUAUAUUUUUUAUGAAUGUUUCAA